rnacentral:rRNA from 1 species
AGCGAACGCUGGCGGCAGGCCUAACACAUGCAAGUCGAGCGCCCAGCAAUGGGAGCGGCAGACGGGUGAGUAACGCGUGGGGAUCUGCCCAAUGGUACGGAAUAACCCAGGGAAACUUGGAUUAAUACCGUAUGUGCCCUUCGGGGGAAAGAUUUAUCGCCAUUGGAUGAACCCGCGUCGGAUUAGAUAGUUGGUGUGGUAAAGGCGCACCAAGGCGACGAUCCGUAGCUGGUCUGAGAGGAUGAUCAGCCACACUGGGACUGAGACACGGCCCAGACUCCUACGGGAGGCAGCAGUGGGGAAUAUUGGACAAUGGGCGCAAGCCUGAUCCAGCCAUGCCGCGUGUGUGAUGAAGGCCUUAGGGUUGUAAAGCACUUUCGCCGGUGAAGAUAAUGACGGUAACCGGAGAAGAAGCCCCGGCUAACUUCGUGCCAGCCGCCGCCGUAAGAC